UCUUCUUCUCUUUUCUUCCUUCUUCUCCCCUCAUUCACGCACGCACACAGCCCACCCUUCCCCUUUCUUUCUUCUCCUUUUCCUCUUCUCUUUGUCACACACACGUUGGGUGUGAGAGAUCGAAACUGAGAGAGAUGAUGCAGAGUUUAAGAGAAGAAGAGAAGAAGAAGGAUUCGGCUCUAGAGGAAGUAGAAGAGAAGAAAAUGGGGGUUUCGGCCAUGGACGUCAAGGAAGAUGAUGUUUCUUUGGUUGCAGGUACUUCGGUUGUAGUUGUUGGUAUUGUAGAAGUGUAUUUGGGAUAUUAUGACUGAAACUCGCCGCGACGGUCGUAAUUUGCGGGACCAUGGGCGUCCUCUGUUUUAUGGUUAUUGUUUAUGGCUUGUGACACCUGUGUCAUUUGUUAUUGUAUAGUCAUUUAUGUUAUGUAUUUAACUUGAGAAAAGACUUAAACAGAUAGAUGUAAUAUUGGCUCUUGAUUCUGAUUAAUUUAUGAUAGAUGUUUAAGAUGCGAUUU